rnacentral:tRNA from 1 species
UCCCUGGAAGUCCAGUGGUUAAGACUUGGUGCUUUCACUGCCGGGGCCUGGGUUCAAGCCCAGCUCGGGAA